AGUGAACGCUGGCGGUAGGCCUAACACAUGCAAGUCGAACGGCAGCACAGUAAGAGCUUGCUCUUACGGGUGGCGAGUGGCGGACGGGUGAGGAAUACAUCGGAAUCUACUUUUUCAUGGGGGAUAAUGUAGGGAAACUUACGCUAAUACCGCAUACGACCUACGGGUGAAAGCAGGGGAUCUUCGGACCUUGCGCGAUUGAAUGAGCCGAUGUCGGAUUAGCUAGUUGGCGGGGUAAAGGCCCACCAAGGCGACGAUCCGUAGCUGGUCUGAGAGGAUGAUCAGCCACACUGGAACUGAGACACGGUCCAGACUCCUACGGGAGGCGGCAGUGGGGAAUAUUGGACAAAGGGCGCAAGCCUGAUCCAGCCAUACCGCGUGGGUGAAGAAGGCCUUCGGGUUGUAAAGCCCUUUUGUUGGGAAAGAAAAGCAGCAGGUUAAUACCCCGCUGUUCUGACGGUACCCAAAGAAUAAGCACCGGCUAACUUCGUG
rnacentral:rRNA from 1 species